rnacentral:rRNA from 1 species
GAUGAACGCUGGCGGCGUGCCUAACACAUGCAAGUCGAACGAGAAGUUAACUUUUGAUUCCUUCGGGGAGAUGAAGUUAGCAGAAAGUGGCGAACGGGUGGGUAACGCGUGGGUAAUCUACCCUGUUAGUGGGGGAUAACCCUCCGAAAGGAGGGCUAAUACCGCAUAAGGUCUUCACUUCUUAAGAAGUAAAGAUUAAAGAUGGCCUCUAUACUAUGCUAUCGCUUCAGGAUGAGCCCGCGUCCUAUUAGUUAGUUGGUGGGGUAAUGGCCUACCAAGACCACAAUGGGUAGCCGGUCUGAGAGGAUGUACGGCCACACUGGGACUGAGAUACGGCCCAGACUCCUACGGGAGGCAGCAGUGGGGAAUAUUGCGCAAUGGGGGAAACCCUGACGCAGCGACGCCGCGUGGAUGAUGAAGGCCUUUGGGUUGUAAAAUCCUGUUUUGGGGGAAGAAACCUUAAGGGUCCAAUAAACCCUUAAGCUGACGGUACCC